UAAGGAAUAUUGGUCAAUGGACGCAAGUCUGAACCAGCCAUGCCGCGUGGAGGAUGAAGGCCCUCUGGGUUGUAAACUUCUUUUAUUGGGGAAGAAACCGGUCUUUUCUAAAGCCGUUGACGGUACCCAUUGAAUAAGCACCGGCUAACUCCGUGCCAGCAGCCGCGGUAAUACGGAGGGUGCAAGCGUUAUCCGGAUUCACUGGGUUUAAAGGGUGCGUAGGUGGGUAGGUAAGUCAGUGGUGAAAUCUCCAAGCUUAACUUGGAAACUGCCGUUGAUACUAUUUAUCUUGAAUAUAGUGGAGGUGAGCGGAAUAUGUCAUGUAGCGGUGAAAUGCUUAGAUAUGACAUAGAACACCAAUUGCGAAGGCAGCUUGCUACACUAUUAUUGACACUGAGGCACGAAAGCGUGGGGAUCAAACAGGAUUAGAUACCCCCGUAGUCC
rnacentral:rRNA from 1 species